UGAGAGCACGGUCUGUGAUUGAGCGGACGUUUGGGGUCCUCAAAAGCCGGUUCUGCUGCCUGGAUAAAUCAGGAGGCAGCCUCAUGUAUAGCCCCACCAAAGUUGCCAACAUCAUCGGUGCGUGUGCUGUACUGCUCAAUCUGGCUAACCGGCACGGCUUACCAGGUGAGGUGGCCGAUGACCUUGAUCCAUCCACCAGAUCCUGUCCAACGUGCGGAUGCCCGAGGGAGUCAAGUCCGGGGACAAAUUGUUACCAAUUACUUUGCCUAACUCCAUAUCCAUGUGGCACCUCUUUUCCCUCCAGAGGCACAACCCCAGGCACACCAGGCUCCAGAGGCCCCCGAGGCCCCAGCACCCGGCCAGGCCCCA